CUCAUCCUGCUCGGCGUGUACACCGGUGCUAUCGGUGCCGGGCUGACCUGUGAGGCACGCUGGCCGUUCUGUGACGGCUGGAUGGGGC
rnacentral:tRNA from 1 species